UACGGGGGGUGCGAGCGUUGUCCGGAAUCACUGGGCGUAAAGGGCGCGUAGGUGGUUUGAUAAGGGUGUGGUGAAAGUCCGGGGCUCAACCCCGGAUCUGCCAUGCCGACUGUCAAACUCGAGGGCUGUAGAGGCAGACGGAAUUCCGGGUGUAGCGGUGGAAUGCGUAGAGAUCCGGAGGAAGACCGGUGGCGAAGGCGGCCAUCUGGACGGAUACUGACGCUGAGACGCGAAAGCGUGGGUAGCAAACAGG
rnacentral:rRNA from 1 species